UACGUAGGGGGCUAGCGUUAUCCGGAUUUACUGGGCGUAAAGGGUGCGUAGGUGGUUUCUUAAGUCAGGAGUGACAGGCUACGGCUCAACCGUAGUAAGCUCUUGAAACUGGGAAACUUGAGUGCAGGAGAGGAAAGUGGAAUUCCUAGUGUAGCGGUGAAAUGCGUAGAUAUUAGGAGGAACACCAGUAGCGAAGGCGGCUUUCUGGACUGUAACUGACACUGAGGCACGAAAGCGUGGGGAGCAAACAGGAUUAGAUACCCUGGUAGUCCACGCUGUAAACGAUGAGUACUAGGUGUCGGGGGUUACCCCCCUCGGUGCCGCAGCUAACGCAUUAAGUACUCCGCCUGGGGAGUACGCUCGCAAGAGUGAA
rnacentral:rRNA from 1 species